GCCUCGGUAGCGCAGUAGGCAGCGCGUCAGUCUCAUAAUCUGAAGGUCGUGAGUUCGAACUUCACCCUGGGCA
rnacentral:tRNA from 1 species